rnacentral:rRNA from 1 species
CGGGGGGCAGCAGUGGGGAAUAUUGGGCAAUGGGCGGAAGCCUGACCCAGCGACGCCGCGUGAGGGAUGAAGGCCUUCGGGUUGUAAACCUCUUUCAGCAGGGAAGAAGCGAAAGUGACGGUACCUGCAGAAGAAGCACCGGCUAACUAUGUGCCAGCAGCCGCGGUAAUACAUAGGGUGCAAGCGUUGUCCGGAAUUAUUGGGCGUAAAGAGCUCGUAGGUGGCUCGUCACGUCGAAUGUGAAACCCUGAGGCUCAACCUCAGGCCUGCAUCCGAUACGGGCGAACUGGAGUGUGGUAGGGGAGACUGGAAUUCCUGGUGUAGCGGUGGAAUGCGCAGAUAUCAGGAGGAACACCAAUGGCGAAGGCAGGUCUCUGGGCCACUACUGACACUGAGGAGCGAAAGCGUGGGGAGCAAACAGGAUUAGAUACCCGAGU